UGAGUAACACGUAGGUAAUCUACCCUCGGGUGGAGGAUAACUUUCCGAAAGGAAGGCUAAUACUGCAUGAGACCACGACCUCGAAAGGGGAUGGGGGUCAAAGCCGGCCUCUGUACACAAGCUGGCGCCUGAGGAUGAGCCUGCGGCCCAUCAGCUAGUUGGUAGGGUAAUGGCCUACCAAGGCGAAGACGGGUAGCUGGUCUGAGAGGAUGAUCAGCCACACUGGAACUGAGACACGGUCCAGACUCCUACGGGAGGCAGCAGUGGGGAAUCUUGCGCAAUGGGCGAAAGCCUGACGCAGCGACGCCGCGUGAGUGAUGAAGGCCUUCGGGUUGUAAAGCUCUGUGGAGAGGGACGAAUAAGUGUUGGCUAACAUCCAGCAUGAUGACGGUACCUCUUUAGCAAGCACCGGCUAACUCUGUG
rnacentral:rRNA from 1 species